rnacentral:rRNA from 1 species
GAUGAACGCUGGCGGCGUGCUUAACACAUGCCAGUCGAACGAAGCAUUUAAGACAGAUUACUUCGGUUUGAAGUCUUUUAUGACUGAGUGGCGGACGGGUGAGUAACGCGUGGGUAACCUGCCUCAUACAGGGGGAUAGCAGCUGGAAACGGCUGGUAAUACCGCAUAAGCGCACAGUACCACAUGGUACAGUGUGAAAAACUCCGGUGGUAUGAGAUGGACCCGCGUCUGAUUAGCUUGUUGGCGGGGUAACGGCCCACCAAGGCGACGAUCAGUAGCCGACCUGAGAGGGUGACCGGCCACAUUGGGACUGAGACACGGCCCAGACUCCUACGGGAGGCAGCAGUGGGGAAUAUUGCACAAUGGAGGAAACUCUGAUGCAGCGACGCCGCGUGAGUGAAGAAGUAGUUCGCUAUGUAAAGCUCUAUCAGCAGGGAAGAUAGUGACGGUACCUGACGAAGAAGCUCCGGCUAAAUACGUG